GAGCGGACAGAUGGGAGCUUGCUCCCUGAUGUUAGCGGCGGACGGGUGAGUAACACGUGGGUAACCUGCCUGUAAGACUGGGAUAACUCCGGGAAACCGGGGCUAAUACCGGAUGCUUGAUUGAACCGCAUGGUUCAAUUAUAAAAGGUGGCUUUUAGCUACCACUUACAGAUGGACCCGCGGCGCAUUAGCUAGUUGGUGAGGUAACGGCUCACCAAGGCAACGAUGCGUAGCCGACCUGAGAGGGUGAUCGGCCACACUGGGACUGAGACACGGCCCAGACUCCUACGGGAGGCAGCAGUAGGGAAUCUUCCGCAAUGGACGAAAGUCUGACGGAGCAACGCCGCGUGAGUGAUGAAGGUUUUCGGAUCGUAAAACUCUGUUGUUAGGGAAGAACAAGUACCGUUCGAAUAGGGCGGUACCUUGACGGUACCUAACCAGAAAGCCACGGCUAACUACGUGCCAGCAGCCGCGGUAAUACGUAGGUGGCAAGCGUUGUCCGGAAUUAUUGGGCGUAAAGCGCGCGCAGGCGGUUUCUUAAGUCUGAUGUGAAAGCCCCCGGCUCAACCGGGGAGGGUCAUUGGAAACUGGGGAACUUGAGUGCAGAAGAGGAGAGUGGAAUUCCACGUGUAGCGGUGAUAUGCGUAGAGAUGUGGAGGAACACCAGUGGCGAAGGCGACUCUCUGGUCUGUAACUGACGCUGAGGCGCGAAAGCGUGGGGAGCGAACAGGAUUAGAUACCCUGGUAGUCCACGCCGUAAACGAUGAGUGCUAAGUGUUAGAGGGUUUCCGCCCUUUAGUGCUGCAGCAAACGCAUUAAGCACUCCGCCUGGGGGAGUACGGGUCGCAAGACUGAAACUCAAGGAAUUGACGGGGGCCC
rnacentral:rRNA from 1 species